ACAGCAUGGUUUUUAGAAGGGAAAUCAGGUUACGAAGAGCACUAAGGCAGCUUUGAAGGGGAAGUCCUGAGAGAACAGGCUGCAGCUUCGGGGUAUAACAUCACUAUUGUAAAACCUCAGAUUGGUGCUCAAGAUAGUUUUCAGACCCUGCACUGGAUGGAUCAGCUGGCACUACUCAGAUCAACACACUGGCUCAUCUGGUCUUGUGGCCCCCACCCAGGAAAUGACUCAGCACAAGAGGACAGCUUUGACUCCCUGUGAUUUCAUCUCAGACCCAACCAGUCAGCUCUCCCUACUACUUGGCCCCCUACCCACCAAAUUAUCCUUAAAAAACCCCAGCCUCUAAAUUUUGGGGGUGACUGUUUUGAGUAAUAAUAAAACUCUGGUAUCCC
rnacentral:lncRNA from 1 species